rnacentral:tRNA from 1 species
GGGGGAUUAGCUCAGUUGGUAGAGCGCUUGAAUGGCAUUCAAGAGGUCAGGGGUUCGAAUCCCCUAUUCUCCACCA